rnacentral:rRNA from 1 species
CCUACGGGGGACAGCAGUGAGGAAUAUUGGUCAAUGGGAGAGAUCCUGAACCAGCCAAGCCGCGUGAGGGAAGACGGCCCUAUGGGUUGUAAACCUCUUUUGUCGGAGAACAAAACCCGGGACGUGUCCCGGACUGCGUGUAUCCGAAGAAAAAGCAUCGGCUAACUCCGUGCCAGCGGCCGCGGUAAUACGGAGGAGGCUAGCGUUAUCCGGAUUUAGUGGGUUAAAGGGGUGCGUAGUCGGUGCGGAAAGUCAGAGGUAAGAUUGCGGGGCCCAACCCCGUCGAGCCGUUGAAACUGGGAGACUUGAGUGGACGAGAAGUACGCGGAAUGCGCGGUGUAGCGGUGAAAUGCAUAGAUAUCGCGCAGAACACCGGUUGCGAAGGCAGCCUACUGGAGUCAGACUGACGCUGAGGCACGAAAGCGUGGGGAGCGAACAGGAUUAGAUACCCGGGUAGUC